CCUACGGGAGGCAGCAGUAGGGAAUCUUUCACAAUGGGCGAAAGCCUGAUGGAGCAACGCCGCGUGCAGGAUGAAGGCCUUCGGGUUGUAAACUGCUUUUAUAAGCGAGAAAUAUGAUGGUAACUUAUGAAUAAGGAUCGGCUAACUACGUGCCCGCAGCCGCGGGCAUACGUAGGAGCAGAGCAUUAUCCGGAGUGACUGGGUGUAAAGAGUUGCGUAGGUGGCAUAAUAAGUAUCUAGUGAAAUCUGCUGGCUCAACCAUUCAGACUAUAAGCUAAACUAUUAAGCUCGAGACCGUUAGAGGUAACUGGAAUUUCUAGUGUAGGAGUGAAAUCCGUAGAUAUUAGAAGGAACACCAAUAGCGAAGGCAGGUUACUGGGACGGUUCUGACAUUAAGGCACGAAAGCGUAGGGAGCAAACGGGAUUAGAUACCCUUGUAGUC
rnacentral:rRNA from 1 species